ACACUGGAACUGAGACACGGUCCAGACACCUACGGGUGGCAGCAGUCGAGAAUCUUUCACAAUGGGGGCAACCCUGAUGGAGCGACGCCGCGUGGAGGAUAAGGUCUUCGGAUUGUAAACUCCUGUCAUGCGUGAACAAGGUUGCUUGGUUAAUACCUGGGCAAAUUGAUGGUAACGCAAGAGGAAGAGACGGCUAACUCUGUGCCAGCAGCCGCGGUAAUACAGAGGUCUCAAGCGUUGUUCGGAAUCACUGGGCGUAAAGGGUGCGUAGGUGGCGUGGAAAGUCAGAUGUGAAAUCCGGGGGCUCAACCUCCGAAUAGCAUCCGAUACUCCCAUGCUAGAGAACUGGAGGGGGAUCUGGAAUUCUCGGUGUAGCAGUGAAAUGCGUAGAUAUCGAGAGGAACACUAGUGGCGAAGGCGAGAUCCUGGACAGUAUCUGACACUGAUGCACGAAGGUCAGGGGAGCAAACGGGAUUAGAUACCCCGGUAGUCCUGACAGUAAACGGUGCACGUUUGGUGUGGGAGGAUUCGACCCCUUCUGUGCCGGAGCUAACGCGUUAAACGUGCCGCCUGGGAAGUACGGUCGCAAGAUUAAAACUCAAAGAAAUUGACGGGGACCCGCACAAGCGGUGGAGUAUGUGGCUUAAUUCGAUGCAACGCGAAGAACCUUACCUGGGCUUGACAUGCACUGUGUCGUCGGUGAAAGCCGGCUAGUGUAGCAAUACACGCUUUGCACAGGUGCUGCAUGGCUGUCGUCAGCUCGUGUCGUGAGAUGUUGGGUUAAGUCC
rnacentral:rRNA from 1 species